GAGUUUGAUCAUGGCUCAGAUUGAACGCUGGCGGCAUGCCUAACACAUGCAAGUCGAACGGUAACAGGAGAGAGCUUGCUCUCUUGCUGACGAGUGGCGGACGGGUGAGUAAUGCAUAGGAAUCUACCCAUUAGUGGGGGACAACUUGGGGAAACUCAAGCUAAUACCGCAUACGCCCUACGGGGGAAAGCAGGGGAUCUUUCGGGACCUUGCGCUAUUGGAUGAGCCUAUGUCUGAUUAGCUAGUUGGUGAGGUAAUGGCUCACCAAGGCGACGAUCAGUAGCUGGUCUGAGAGGAUGAUCAGCCACACUGGGACUGAGACACGGCCCAGACUCCUACGGGAGGCAGCAGUGGGGAAUAUUGGACAAUGGGGACAACCCUGAUCCAGCAAUGCCGCGUGUGUGAAGAAGGCCUGCGGGUUGUAAAGCAUUUUCAGUUGGGAAGAAAAGCUUAGGGUUAAUAACCCUGAGUCUUGACGUUACCAUCAGAAGAAGCACCGGCUAACUCUGUGCCAGCAGCCGCGGUAAUACAGAGGGUGCGAGCGUUAAUCGGAAUUACUGGGCGUAAAGCGCGCGUAGGCGGCUUGGUCAGUCGGAUGUGAAAGCCCUGGGCUCAACCUGGGAAUUGCAUUCGAUACUGCCAGGCUAGAGUAUGGGAGAGGGAAGUGGAAUUUCCGGUGUAGCGGUGAAAUGCGUAGAUAUCGGAAAGAACAUCAGUGGCGAAGGCGACUUCCUGGCUCAAUACUGACGCUGAGGUGCGAAAGCGUGGGGAGCGAACAGGAUUAGAUACCCUGGUAGUCCACGCCGUAAACGAUGGAAGCUAGCUGUCAGGUAGUUUACUACUUGGUGGCGCAGCCAACGCAUUAAGCUUCCCGCCUGGGGAGCAC
rnacentral:rRNA from 1 species